rnacentral:rRNA from 1 species
GACGAACGCUGGCGGCGUGCUUAACACAUGCAAGUCGAGCGGUAAGGCCCUUUCGGGGGUACACGAGCGGCGAACGGGUGAGUAACACGUGGGUGACCUGCCCUCAGCUCUGGGAUAAGCCUGGGAAACCGGGUCUAAUACCGGAUAUGACUCCAUGACGCAUGUUGUGGGGUGGAAAGCCUUGUGCGGCUGAGGAUGGGCCCGCGGCCUAUCAGCUUGUUGGUGGGGUGAUGGCCUACCAAGGCGACGACGGGUAGCCGGCCUGAGAGGGCGACCGGCCACACUGGGACUGAGACACGGCCCAGGCUCCUACGGGAGGCAGCAGUGGGGAAUCUUGCGCAAUGGGCGAAAGCCUGACGCAGCGACG